UUGUACAUUAAUUUCAUCAGCUAACAUGAAUACAAAUCCUGCGAGAGGUGGUUAGAAUAGGAUGGGAGGCUAAAAGUCAGUGUAACCAAUAGAGAGUCAGAGUCCCGAGUGUGGGAACAAACAUAGUCUGUCCCACGGUUGGGUAAAGAAAGUUUGUAGUCAACAAAGUAUGCAGGAGUUAUGAGGCAAAUAGCAAAAUGCAUGAGAAAAAAAAUCUAAUCUAUAACGACUUGGGGCUAGCCAUUGUAAGUUCAGAGUCUCUCGCCCCAACAGUGUGUGUGUGCUGGAGGCGAGCGAAAGCUCGGGAGAGAGGGGUGAGUGUGGUGGGGGUACUGUACCAGACAGGGGAGACAGGCCAGGGCAGACGGUGAACAGAUCGCCAGGUGGAAUCCAAGCAGCAGUGCAGCAGGUAAUGGGAGUAGGUGUUAUACCUGCUUGGGAGAAGCUUUUAUUUCUGGAGGCAGAUGUCUUGUAGAAAAUGCCAGUGAAUGGUCUUUGAACAACAAGAGGGGGCUUCAGAGGAGCUUCAAAGACCCCUGACACUUGUUGGGCCCAAAGGCCUUUUACUUCAGACCUUAGUGCUAAUUGAAUUUAUAUCUGGCUCAGUUCCAGGUUUUAAUGGUGUCCUCGGGUCUCUGCUGUUCGUUGGCUAGAACACCCUCCGUAUAGCUUGGAAAAAUAAAACCUUGGAAGCAGUAAUCUCUCCAGUUCAUUUUGGUCAAAAUUAGGUUGUAGGUUUGAUCUGGAGUGAAGGUUAUGUUGUGGAGGGUAGUAUCCUGUAUAUGUUCUGGUGACAUAGUGAAGGUUAUGUUGUAGAGGGUAGUAUCCUGUAUAUGUCCUGGUGACAUAGUGAAGGUUAUGUUGUGGAGGGUAGUAUCCUGUAUAUGUCCUGGUGACAUAGUGGAGGUUAUGUUGUGGAGGGUAGUAUCCUGUAUAUGUCCUGGUGACAUAGUGAAGGUUAUGCUGUGGAGGGUAGUAUCCUGUAUAUGUCCUGGUGACAUAGUGAAGGUUAUGCUGUGGAGGGUAGUAUCCUGUAUAUGUCCUGGUGACAUAGCGAAGGUUAUGUUGUGGAGGGUAGUAUCCUGUAUAUGUCCUGGUGACAUAGUGAAGGUUAUGCUGUGGAGGGUAGUAUCCUGUAUAUGUCCUGGUGACAUAGCGAAGGUUAUGUUGUGGAGGAUAGUAUCCUGUAUAUGUCCUGGUGACAUAGUGAAGGUUAUGUUGUGGAGGGUAGUAUUCUGUAUAUGUCCUGGUGACAUAGUGAAGGUUAUGCUGUGGAGGGUAGUAUCCUGUAUAUGUCCUGGUGACAUAGUGAAGGUUAUGUUGUGGAGGGUAGUAUCCUGUAUAUGUCCUGGUGACAUAGUGAAGGUUAUGUUGUGGAGGGUAGUAUCCUGUAUAUGUCCUGGUGACAUAGUGAAGGUUAUGCUGUGGAGGGUAGUAUUCUGUAUAUGUCCUGGUGACAUAGUGAAAGUUAUGUUGUGGAGGGUAGUAUCCUGUAUAUGUCAUGGUGACAUAGUGAAGGUUAUGUUGUAGAGGGUAGUAUCCUGUAUAUGUCCUGGUGACAUAGUGUUGUGGAGGGUAGUAACCUGUAUAUGUCCUGGUGACAUAGUGUUGUAGAGGGUAGUAUCCUGUAUAUGUCCUGGUGACAUAGUGAAGGUUAUGUUGUGGAGGGUAGUAUCCUGUAUAUGUCCUGGUGACAUAGUGAAGGUUAUGCUGUGGAGGGUAGUAUUCUGUAUAUGUCCUGGUGACAUAGUGAAAGUUAUGUUGUGGAGGGUAGUAUCCUGUAUAUGUCCUGGUGACAUAGUGGAGGUUAUGUUGUGGAGGGUAGUAUCCUGUAUGUGUCCU
rnacentral:lncRNA from 1 species